rnacentral:sRNA from 1 species
GUCUUUUCGAGGUAGGAGUCGACUCCUGUGAGGUAUGGUGCUGGGUGCAGAUGCAGUGUGGCUCUGGAUAGCACCUUAUGGACAGUUGUGUCCCCAAGGAAGGAUGAGAAUAGCUACUGAAGUCCUAAAGAGCAAGCCUAACUCAAGCCAUUGGCACACAGGCAUUAGACAGAAAGCUGGAAGUUGAAAUGGUGGAGUCCAACUUGCCUGGACCAGCUUAAUGGUUCUGCUCCUGGUAACGUUUUUAUCCAUGGAUGACUUGCUUGGGUAUGGAGAGUCGGCUUGACUACACUGUGUGGAGCAAGUUUUAAAGAAGCAAAGGCAGACCUGUUAUCCUAAACUAGGGUUUUUAAUGACCACAACAAGCAAGCAUGCAGCUUACUGCUUGAAAGGGUCUUGCCUCACCCAAGCUAGAGUGCAGUGGCCUUUGAAGCUUACUACAGCCUCAAACUUCUGGGCUCAAGUGAUCCUCAGCCUCCCAGUGGUCUUUGUAGACUGCCUGAUGGAGUCUCAUGGCACAAGAAGAUUAAAACAGUGUCUCCAAUUUUAAUAAAUUUUUGCAAUCCAUCAAAAAAAAAAAAAAAAAA